rnacentral:rRNA from 1 species
GCGCCAGACUCCUACGGGAGGCAGCAGUGGGGAAUAUUGCACAAUGGGCGAAAGCCUGAUGCAGCAACGCCGCGUGAAGGAAGAAGGGUUUCGGCUCGGAAACUUCUAUUAACAGGGACGAAAGAAAUGACGGUACCUGAAUAAGAAGCCCCGGCUAACUACGUGCCAGCAGCCGCGGUAAUACGUAGGGGGCAAGCGUUAUCCGGAUUUACUGGGUGUAAAGGGAGCGUAGACGGUAUGGCAAGUCUGAAGUGAAAGCCCAGGGCUUAACCCUGGGACUGCUUUGGAAACUGUUAGACUAGAGUGCUGGAGAGGUAAGUGGAAUUCCUAGUGUAGCGGUGAAAUGCGUAGAUAUUAGGAGGAACACCAGUGGCGAAGGCGGCUUACUGGACAGUAACUGACGGUGAGGCUCGAAAGCGUGGGGAGCAAACAGGAUUAGAUACCCGUGUAAUU